rnacentral:rRNA from 1 species
CAGGCCUAACACAUGCAAGUCGAACGGUGGUCUUCGGGUCAUAGCGGUGCACUGAUGCGUAACGCGUGGGAAUCUGCCCUGGGGUUGGGAAUAGCGGCUGGAAACGGCCGGUAAUACCUGAUGAUGUCGAAAGACCAAAUAUUUAUCGCCCUGAGAUGAGCCCGCGUCGGAUUAGCUACUUGGUGGGGUAAAGGCCUACCAAGGCGACGAUCCGUAUCUGGUCUGAGAGGAUGAUCAGCCACACUGGGACUGAGACACGGCCCAUACUCCUACGGGACGCAGCAGUGGGGAAUAUUGGACAAUGGGCGCAAGCCUGAUCCAGCAAUGCCGCGUGAGUGAUGAGCGCCUUAAGGUUGUAAAGCUCUUUUACCCGGGAAGAUAAUGACUGUACCGGGAGAAUAAGCCCCGGCUAACUCCGUGCCAGCAGCCGCGGUAAU